CUCAGGAUGAACGCUAGCUACAGGCUUAACACAUGCAAGUCGAGGGGCAGCAUUUUAGUUUGCUUGCAAACUAAAGAUGGCGACCGGCGCACGGGUGAGUAACACGUAUCCAACCUGCCGAUAACUCGGGGAUAGCCUUUCGAAAGAAAGAUUAAUAUCCGAUAGUAUAUUAAAACCGCAUGGUUUUACUAUUAAAGAAUUUCGGUUAUCGAUGGGGAUGCGUUCCAUUAGUUUGUUGGCGGGGUAACGGCCCACCAAGACUACGAUGGAUAGGGGUUCUGAGAGGAAAGUCCCCCACAUUGGAACUGAGACACGGUCCAAACUCCUACGGGAGGCAGCAGUGAGGAAUAUUGGUCAAUGGACGAGAGUCUGAACCAGCCAAGUAGCGUGAAGGAUGACUGCCCUAUGGGUUGUAAACUUCUUUUAUAUGGGAAUAAAGUAUUCCACGUGUGGGAUUUUGUAUGUACCAUAUGAAUAAGGAUCGGCUAACUCCGUGCCAGCAGCCGCGGUAAUACGGAGGAUCCGAGCGUUAUCCGGAUUUAUUGGGUUUAAAGGGAGCGUAGGUGGAUUGUUAAGUCAGUUGUGAAAGUUUGCGGCUCAACCGUAAAAUUGCAGUUGAAACUGGCAGUCUUGAGUACAGUAGAGGUGGGCGGAAUUCGUGGUGUAGCGGUGAAAUGCUUAGAUAUCACGAAGAACUCCGAUUGCGAAGGCAGCUCACUAGACUGCAACUGACACUGAUGCUCGAAAGUGUGGGUAUCAAACAGGAUUAGAUACCCUGGUAGUCCACACAGUAAACGAUGAAUACUCGCUGUUUGCGAUAUACAGUAAGCGGCCAAGCGAAAGCAUUAAGUAUUCCACCUGGGGAGUACGCCGGCAACGGUGAAACUCAAAGGAAUUGACGGGGGCCCGCACAAGCGGAGGAACAUGUGGUUUAAUUCGAUGAUACGCGAGGAACCUUACCCGGGCUUAAAUUGCAUUUGAAUAAUCUGGAAACAGGUUAGCCGCAAGGCAAAUGUGAAGGUGCUGCAUGGUUGUCGUCAGCUCGUGCCGUGAGGUGUCGGCUUAAGUGCCAUAACGAGCGCAACCCUUAUCUUUAGUUACUAACAGGUCAUGCUGAGGACUCUAGAGAGACUGCCGUCGUAAGAUGUGAGGAAGGUGGGGAUGACGUCAAAUCAGCACGGCCCUUACGUCCGGGGCUACACACGUGUUACAAUGGGGGGUACAGAAGGCAGCUACCUGGCGACAGGAUGCUAAUCCCAAAAACCUCUCUCAGUUCGGAUCGAAGUCUGCAACCCGACUUCGUGAAGCUGGAUUCGCUAGUAAUCGCGCAUCAGCCAUGGCGCGGUGAAUACGUUCCCGGGCCUUGUACACACCGCCCGUCAAGCCAUGAAAGCCGGGGGUACCUGAAGUACGUAACCGCAAGGAGCGUCCUAGGGUAAAACUGGU
rnacentral:rRNA from 1 species